UUGCUCCUUGGGUGGCGAGUGGCGGACGGGUGAGGAAUACGUCGGAAUCUGCCUAUUUGUGGGGGAUAACGUAGGGAAACUUACGCUAAUACCGCAUACCACCUACGGGUGAAAGCGGAGGACCUUCGGGCUUCGCGCGGAUAGAUGAGCCGACCUCGGAUUACCUAGUUGGCGGGGUAAAGGCCCACCAAGGCGACGAUCCGUAGCUGGUCUGAGAGGAUGAUCACCCACACUGGAACUGAGACACGGCCCAGACUCCUACGGGAGGCACCAGUGGGGAAUAUUGGACAAUGGGCGCAAGCCUGAUCCAGCCAUGCCGCGUGUGUGAAGAAGGCCUUCGGGUUGUAAAGCACUUUUGUCCGCAAAGAAAAGCUUCGGGUUAAUACCCCGAGGUCAUGACGGUCCCGGAACAAUAAGCACCGGCUAACUUCGUGCCAGCAGCCGCGGUAAUACCAAGGGUGCACGCGUUACUCGGAAUUACUGGGGUAAAAGCGUGCAUAGGUGGUUUGUUAAGUCUGAUGUGAAAGCCCUGGGCUCAACCUGGGAAUGGCAUUGGAAACUGGCUUACUAGAGUGCGGUAGAGGGUAGUGGAAUUCCCGGUGUAGCAGUGAAAUGCGUAGAUAUCGGGAGGAACAUCUGUGGCGAAGGCGACUACCUGGACCAGCACUGACACUGAGGCACGAAAGCGUGGGGAGCAAACAGGAUUAGAUACCCUGGUAGUCCACGCCCUAAACGAUGCGAACUGGAUGUUGGGAGCAACUUGGCUCUCAGUAUCGAAGCUAACGCGUUAAGUUCGCCGCCUGGGAAGUACGGUCGCAAGACUGAAACUCAAAGGAAUUGACGGGGGCCCGCACAAGCGGUGGAGUAUGUGGUUUAAUUCGAUGCAACGCGAAGAACCUUACCUGGUCUUGACAUCCACGGAACUUUCCAGAGAUGGAU
rnacentral:rRNA from 1 species